UCGAUCAAUCUAGGAACUCCACGAACUGAGUACUUUAUUCCUCCAAUCUCUACGACCGAUCUCGGCGGCCUCCUCACCCUCCUCGGCCGGCCAGGCGCGUGCAGAGGCAGCAUCAGCCUGCCAUUGAUGGCUCCUCUUCUCUUCCCAAGCAGUGGAGCCAUCAACCGCUGCGCCUUUCUCUCACUCCCGAGUCGGCAGCCGGCACAGAGGAGUUCAACCGCCCCCAUCUCCUAUCCAAGGCGGCUAAUGGUGCGGAGGGCAUCGGCGCCCUCCUCUCCCUCCAGAGGCAGCGCAACCAUGGGAAGAGCUCCACGCCCCCUUCUCCUUCCUAGGUACCCAGUCCCUACUUCUUCCCAAGGCGACUAACGGCCUGGAGGAGGACAUAGGCACCUCCUCUUCCUUCGGAGGCACCUUCGCUAUCGGAGGAUCAGACGCGGCUGAUGCUCACUUCGAGAUACAUCUACGGCCAGGUGCACCACCUACCAUGGCAUGAGCCCUCUAUUUUUCUCUACAUAGUCUAUGGCAUUUUGAAUCUGCACAAGAUGGUAUGAAUACUCUUUGUUUCUUGCCAAAAUAUAAAGUAUUCGUGCAUUUUCUUCUUUGUUUGCAUGAAGGAGCGAUUAUGACCGCUUAAAGUUCUUGCAUUAAUCUGACCAACCAAUUGCUGCAGAUACAAUAAGGAAUAUCCUUGGCUGCUCCUUCUGUAUUUCCAAAAGGAUGGGCGUGCAAGCAUGGUCGAAGGCUAUAGUUUUUUCGAUCAAAUUAUGUGUCACGCCUACGGAAGUCCUUGCUGAUGGUUCCAGUAAUGAAUUUUUAUUCUGUAGCAGUUAUGCGUUCUUGCAUACACUCCAAGAAUCACAUGUAAUUUCCUUCAGAUAUUUUUAUUAUAGACAUAGUACGAUGAGUAUUUUUUUUGUAUAACCGCUGCGCCUUUCUCUCACUCCCGAGUCGGCAGCCGGCACAGAGGAGUUCAACCGCCCCCAUCUCCUAUCCAAGGCGGCUAAUGGUGCGGAGGGCAUCGGCGCCCUCCUCUCCCUCCAGAGGCAGCGCAGCCAUGGGAAGAGCUCCACGCCCCCUUCUCCUUCCUAGGUACCCAGGCCCUACUUCUUCCCAAGGCGACUAACGGCCUGGAGGAUGACAUAGGCACCUCCUCUUCCUUCGGAGACACCUUCGCUAUCGGAGGAUCAGACGCGGCUGAUGCUCACUUCGAGAUACAUCUACGGCCAGGUGCACCACCUACCAUGGCAUGAGCCCUCUAUUUUUCUCUACAUAGUCUAUGGCAUUUUGAAUCUGCACAAGAUGGUAUGAAUACUCUUUGUUUCUUGCCAAAAUAUAAAGUAUCGUGCAUUUUCUUCUUUGUUUGCAUGAAGGAGCGAUUAUGACCGCUUAAAGUUCUUGCAUUAAUCUGACCAACCAAUUGCUGCAGAUACAAUAAGGAAUAUCCUUGGCUGCUCCUUCUGUAUUUCCAAAAGGAUGGGCGUGCAAGCAUGGUCGAAGGCUAUAGUUUUUUCCGAUCAAAUUAUGUGUCACGCCUACGGAAGUCCUUGCUGAUGGUUCCAGUAAUGAAUUUUUAUUCUGUAGCAGUUAGGCGUUCUUGCAUACACUCCAAGAAUCACAUGUAAUUUCCUUCAGAUAUAAUUUUUUAUAGACAUAGUACUAUGAGUAUUAUUUUUUUGUAUCGAGGAGCUUCCCUGUGAAACCAAAUCAUCAAUUUUUUGUUGAAGGCACAUAGUUUCUGCUUUCUAUUAUUGAUUAUCCAUGUAUAUUUUCUAUUAAAUAUCGGUUGACUCGCAUAUAGAUUCUACUUGCGCAUGCUUCUGAUCAAGUUCGUAUAUUUCUCUGCUUUUGCAGGCGUCUCUACAAAUACGCAGAGGUCUAAGAUGUACAGUGACCUUUCAAUCUGCAAUUUAAUUUACUGGUUAGAUGUUUUUUCAAUUGACACUACACAGCUACGAGGUUUGCAGAUGUAUAUAUCCACUUGGCUUUACAUAUCAGAUAGUGUUGGCGGUGAGAGAGAUUGGCUUCAUUUUUUGUUGUAAUAAUUGUCACAUUUGGGAAUUUUUAUAGGUAUUGCAAAUUGUUCUACCGUGGCCCUCAUUACCUAUGUUUCUACCUUAUUGGAAUUCUGCAUUUGCUUCAUGUAGUUUGGCCGCUGGUGAAGAUGUGCUUCACGAGUAGCCUACUUAUUUUAUCAUUUAUUUGAGCCUCAAUUGUCCUCAUGCAUGGUUGUCAUUCAUAGUAUAAAUGCAAGUCUCCAUGACAACACUUCAGUGUGAGAGUGGCAAAUCUAGCAACUCCCUUAACUACAUCGGUAAAUACUUAUCUUGGACUACAUACAUCCUUCCAAUGUUGAUAAUGUUGUUCCUUCUUUUUAUGCUGAUAUGGCGUGUCUUGACUCUUGACUCAUGUACUCUUGAUGUGGGCCUAGGCCAAAUUCUCUUGCACAACCGAAAAAGUUUACAUGGACAAAUAUGCUUCAUUUGGAGUAUAUGUGUUUGGCUGAACUAUGUAGAAGCCAUGCUAAUCUGCACUGGUACAUACACGUUUCAAAUAGCCAUGCUAAUCUGCACACAUUUGAAAUAUGCCGAUCAAGUCAUAAUUUAGGUUGAUAUGUUCUUAUACUUUUCUUAUCACUGUCAAAUAACAUAUGUCAUGUUUUCAACCUUUGAGUGAUAUUCUGUCAAAUAACAUAUGUCAUGCUUUCUACCUUUAAAUGAUAUUCUGAUAUUAAAACAUCGAUUGGCCUCCAGUGAAGGUGGCAAACUAUUGCAUAUUUAGCAACAGGUUUUCCAAUACAUUAGAUGUGGAACAAAAUAUUAAUACUUUCGCACUACAAUAUUUUAAUGUAUAACUGAGACACUUUCAGGUUACUAUGCUUUAAUAGAAGGAGGCUGUAAUGUUUGGAGUUUAGAUUAUACUUUGUUUGUUUAACAAGUUUGUGGUAGUUGAACCGCUGCUAUUUCUACAAUUCAAAGGGUGUUUUAUUUGCUAUCUCCUCUCAAAUUUAUGUAAUGUGUUUUGUCGGUUGCUUCAUUUCAUUCUUAACCAAUUAUGUGCUGUUUAUAAUUGUUAUAUUUAACUUUACUUCGCUGAAGAGCUGCCCUAUGAACACAGCUUCUAUUUCUCAGCCUUUAAGUCUAUUAUAUACAGAGCCCCUUAUUUUUCUCUCGAAUGGCAUUGACUACUUAUUCUUUUUAUUUUUAUCGUACUAUCAUCACCAUAAGAACUAGGUAUGCAAAGUUAUACCUCUAUAAUUACUUAGCUUUGCGGUUGCAUAUCAACUCAGCAUCUUUGUUUGUUGAAAUUCCCACUUGCAAAACUACAAGUGUUGUCACCACAUAGCGCUAUCCUUUCUACUACAUCGGGUCUAGGAAAUAAGCCUACCGCCUACCCAAUUACAUCAGGCAUGUUGGAUAUAUUAAUAUAUUCCACCUUGAGCUAUUUCAGUUUUGUGCAUACAUCAGACCAAGUGGCCUUUCACGUUGCGGCGUCGUCAGUAUCCAGUUAGGAUGUGCUAUGCAAUGACUAUCAACAAAAGCCAAGGUCAGACACUUAAGCAGGUUGGGGUUUACUUGCCGAAACCGGUGGUUUUGCAUGGGCAGUUUUAUGUUACGAUCUCAAGGGUAACAUCAAGGGAAAGGCCAGGUGCUGACGCUUGACGAAUCUGGCAAGGCGACUACCCAGACAAGAAACAUAGUGUAGUGGGAGGUCCUUGGCCAUCUAUAAGUGUUCCUUCUUACAUGGUAUCAUUUCUUAGCAGGAUCACUAGAUUUUCUCUUCCUUUAGGUCCUCUGCUAUGUGGUGCGGAUUUAGAAACAGACAGCCAUCGAUUUUGCUCCAGAUGCCGCCGCUCUCCCAUUGUUUUUUUUUGAUGGUCCGCUCUCCCAUUGUUGAUAGAACAUGUGUCAGGUUUAUCAGCGCGCAUAACCAUUUAGCGUAAAUACACUAAAGCUAAUGAAGGUGUUUUGUGAGUUUACAUGUCGCGUACAACAGCCUGAAAUCUCAAGCCAUGUACACACUUCAGCGGCAUGACAAUGUCAUCUGGCCAGAGCUCAGUUUUUCUUUAUCAGUUUCAGUUGCCUUUACCCACUAUGUACACUAUACUAAAUGUUUUACUGCGUGUCUGACAUAAGGAGAUGUAUAUGAAUUUAGCUUUCGUGCUCCAUGUUCUUAUGCUGGCAUCCUACUCUAAG